rnacentral:lncRNA from 1 species
GCACCUUGUAAUACAUCUAGCGUCUGGAAGAGAUCGGAAGAUAAGUUACAGCAAAUUCUUCAUAAAACUUUAUUCACUUGAAGUCAAAACAAUUCAGAGAUCAAUGAUGAUAAAAGUGUGAUGGGUCAUAACCAGUGACACAAUGUGCAUGUAUAUAUACAUUUUACUUUUGUGGUUUAUAACAUUGAUGAAGUUUGAAGUUAUCAUUUUAUAAUAAUUAAAAAAAAAAUCCUUUUUCAAAAAUGCUAUGAAUGGUUUUACACUAGUAAUUUUGGGGCCCUUUAUAGCUUUUUGUUCGGUGUGAGCCAAGGCUCCGUGUUGAAAGCCGUACAUUGACCUAUAAUGGUUUACUUUUAUAAAUUGUUAUUUUGGAUGGAGAGUUGUCUUAUUGGCACUAACACCACAUCUUCCUAUAUCUAUAUUACAUGUAGCUAUAUUGAACGUUUAUUCAUUUACAUCAUUCAAAAUGUUUUUUUUUCUUCUAAUUCAUUGUAAUCAGAUGUAAUCAUGAUUACUUUGCCAAUGUAAUCAUUAAUUUAAUCAGAUACUUUCAGAAAUGAUGGAAUCGUUAAUUCAAUUUAAUCGUACAAAUGACAAAGUAAGUGUAAUUUAAUCAAUUACAUUGAAAGUAAUCAGACCCAUCUCUGGUCUUAGAUAUAAAGCUUUACUAUGACUAUCACAUCAAUUUAACAUGAUCCAUGAAAAUGGGGUCAAGGUCAGAUAAACCAAACUGGAAAUACACGUACACCUUGUAAUCAUUCCAUAAACCAUAUAGUUGGCCUAUUGCACUUUUAAGAAAUAAAUUUAACCAGAAAAACUUAACAUUGAUCAAUGAACCAUGAAAAUGAUGUCAUGGUCAGAUGAUAAUUGCCAGUCAUCUAGGUCAUCUGCCUUUUAGAAUAUAAAGCUUUUUUAAAAGAAGUAACUGUCACUUCUGCAACCGUCGCCAUCAGAUCACUAUCCCGAUGUCAAACUUUCUGCGACAGAAGUCACAGGCUUACAUUGACCAAUAAACUAAAAAAGUGAGGUCAAUGUCAGAUGAAACCUGCCAACCUGACAUGAACCCAUUACAGUCAUUCCGUACGCCACAUAUAUUUAUCGUACUGCAUAAAUGAUUUGAGAAACAGACAUAAUCAAGCAACUUUAACAUUGAUCACUAAUCCAUGAA